rnacentral:lncRNA from 1 species
GACAUUACAACGAAGCAUGUUACCGUUAUAUUUAGGUGAAAACGUGUAUUAAAUGUGCUUUAACUUACCUAAUUUCGUCGUAAAGUCGUUGUAAAUAAUAUGUUAAAACCAUGUAAAAUCCAUGUAAAAUAUUCCUUGUAAAAUCGUUGUUAUAUUUCAACUACCCAACUCGAAAAUUUCUCUAUAUAUAUGUCAUUUCCCACAACUCUCUUCCUCACAGCACACAAACGGGAG